CUACCGAAGCGAGCGAGGCAGGCUGCGCCUGUGAAGUUCGCCUGUUCAGCGACCGGAAUCGUUUGAAUGUCGUCUGUCGGUUGGGCUCCCGGCGUAUUGCGUUCCUCCUGCACUUCGACACGGCACUGCUGCUAUAUUGGGCUACGGCAAGGACAUUCCUGUGGCACAUGUUUCGAAAAAAGCAAGCGACGAACAGGCGGGCCAGGUUACGUUUCCCAGCAGACGAGAAAUUCCCCGUGGCUCAUGGUUCGAAAAGCGGGGGGACGAAUAGCCGGGCCAAGUUCCGCUUCCCAAGAGACAAGGCCUCCUGUAACACCAACAUCCUGUCUUCGAGGAAGGUAUGCUCAGAGCAGCUGUUCAAGCUUGCCAUGGCCCGUGUUCCUGCAGCAGAGACAUGGGACAUAUUCUAACUUUCGCUCAAGGGAUAUUAUCAGCGCUCCAUCAGUGCCCUGUUGCGUGUGCCGCAAAAGGGAUUAUGCAGAGUAAAUAGGACUAUCCAAGCAUUCAGCAAGGAAGGCGGCAUUUUCGACGCUCCACAUAGGCGUCGACCAAGUGCAACGACGGAUGAAGUGGACGUGCUCGUAGUGGCUGCAGUAGUUUAUAUAACCCGUUAUGGUCCACGUGGCAAGUGCGAGAGCUGCCGGAUGUUACCAUGCGGCGACGUCUCAGCAGUGCUGGACUGCAAAUUUCUGUGGCUGCGCAAAAGCCCAUGCUCACGUGCUUCGAGCGAGGCGUCACGACUGCGAUAUGCGGAAGCGCACGCCUGCCGCACUUCCGAUGGCUGGGACCGGGUAAUGCUCCUGGACGAGUCGACUUUUUACAACGCGCCUAAAUCAACGCGUGCCAGUGUGGCGAGCAACAGGGACAGGUUACGUACCAGCCAAUGUGCAGGGAAAAGCCGGGAGCGGACGAACCUGCUUGAACCAAUGGGACGCAGUGUCAAGGCACGAUCCCGGGCCCCUCCACCUCACUCGGGGCGCUCUUACUCAGCAGCGCCACUGCUACUUCUCUAAGUGUUUCAAUAUUUUGUGAAAAGUGCGCAAAAUAAACAGGUUGAACGUUUGUCUUA